ACUUGGUGGAAACUUUGCAGCCCGCCGUGCUGCCCAACCGCACCGUGUCCCUGAAAUAGCUUAUGAUGUUUUGUUGCCUGUUGCACAUAGCUGAACUUGAAUAAAUGGUUCGGACCAAUUAUUUCCAGCUUAUGAGGUGGGAAAGUCUGCAG